UGGCGAACGGGUGAGUAACACGUGAGCAACCUGCCCCUGACUCUGGGAUAAGCGCUGGAAACGGCGUCUAAUACUGGAUAUGUGACGUGACCGCAUGGUCUGCGUCUGGAAAGAAUUUCGGUUGGGGAUGGGCUCGCGGCCUAUCAGCUUGUUGGUGAGGUAAUGGCUCACCAAGGCGUCGACGGGUAGCCGGCCUGAGAGGGUGACCGGCCACACUGGGACUGAGACACGGCCCAGACUCCUACGGGAGGCAGCAGUGGGGAAUAUUGCACAAUGGGCGCAAGCCUGAUGCAGCAACGCCGCGUGAGGGACGACGGCCUUCGGGUUGUAAACCUCUUUUAGCAGGGAAGAAGCGAAAGUGACGGUACCUGCAGAAAAAGCGCCGGCUAACUACGUGCCAGCAGCCGCGGUAAUACGUAGGGCGCAAGCGUUAUCCGGAAUUAUUGGGCGUAAAGAGCUCGUAGGCGGUUUGUCGCGUCUGCUGUGAAAUCCGGAGGCUCAACCUCCGGCCUGCAGUGGGUACGGGCAGACUAGAGUGCGGUAGGGGAGAUUGGAAUUCCUGGUGUAGCGGUGGAAUGCGCAGAUAUCAGGAGGAACACCGAUGGCGAAGGCAGAUCUCUGGGCCGUAACUGACGCUGAGGAGCGAAAGGGUGGGGAGCAAACAGGCUUAGAUACCCUGGUAGUCCACCCCGUAAACGUUGGGAACUAGUUGUGGGGUCCAUUCCACGGAUUCCGUGACGCAGCUAACGCAUUAAGUUCCCCGCCUGGGGAGUACGGCCGCAAGGCUAAAACUCAAAGGAAUUGACGGGGACCCGCACAAGCGGCGGAGCAUGCGGAUUAAUUCGAUGCAACGCGAAGAACCUUACCAAGGCUUGACAUAUACGAGAACGGGCCAGAAAUGGUCAACUCUUUGGACACUCGUAAACAGGUGGUGCAUGGUUGUCGUCAGCUCGUGUCGUGAGAUGUUGGGUUAAGUCCCGCAACGAGCGCAACCCUCGUUCUAUGUUGCCAGCACGUAAUGGUGGGAACUCAUGGGAUACUGCCGGGGUCAACUCGGAGGAAGGUGGGGAUGACGUCAAAUCAUCAUGCCCCUUAUGUCUUGGGCUUCACGCAUGCUACAAUGGCCGGUACAAAGGGCUGCAAUACCGCGAGGUGGAGCGAAUCCCAAAAAGCCGGUCCCAGUUCGGAUUGAGGUCUGCAACUCGACCUCAUGAAGUCGGAGUCGCUAGUAAUCGCAGAUCAGCAACGCUGCGGUGAAUACGUUCCCGGGUCUUGUACACACCGCCCGUCAAGUCAUGAAAGUCGG
rnacentral:rRNA from 1 species